rnacentral:rRNA from 1 species
GUUUUUCGCUCUAAGAUGAGCUCGCGUAAGAUUAGCUAGUUGGUGAGGUAACGGCUCACCAAGGCAACGAUCUUUAACAGGUCUGAGAGGAUGAUCUGUCACACUGGAACUGAGACACGGUCCAGACUCCUACGGGAGGCAGCAGUAGGGAAUAUUGCACAAUGGAGGAAACUCUGAUGCAGCGACGCCGCGUGAGUGAUGAAGGACUUCGGUUCGUAAAGCUCUGUCGUAUGGGAAUAAGAAAGUG